UUUAUAUUUAUAUUAUAUAACAGGUCUGUAUUCGUUUGCCGUUCAUGAAAAAAGGAACGUAAUUUUUAUAAACCAACUACUGAGUUGUUAUAAAGAGAAGUUGUAAUGUUUGUAUAUGUGGAUAUAAUUGUUAGCGUGAAUCAAGUGGUGGUCCAACGAUACAACUGGCGUCGCCUCUUGGUCCAGUGAUGGUCUACGUCUUAUGCUUACGGUGGAGAACUUCACUUCGUCCCCAAGGCCUUUCUCAGUUCGUGGAGUGAUUUGUCUGCUUAAUUUUUGUAAUAGCAAAGAGAUUGAACGGAUUUUGUAUUGAACAAUAUCAAAUUUUUAUUGUCAUUAAAUUAUUCACAGAAUUGUAGACUACAUAGUUUGAUAAUCCAACUACUAAGUUGUUAUAAAGGGAACUUGCAAUGUUUAUAAUUCAUUCUAGUGAAAAAAAGGCUUGGUCUGAAGUCUGAAUUCUACAAAGGAAUUUGCCAGGAAUAAUGCCAUUUAUUCUACUUCAAUGGCGCGACACCAAAACUGCCCCCGUGACCUUGUUUGUAAUUAUUAAUUACAGGGAUAGAUUUUAUAAUAGCCAGAGGUAUGUCGCAAUUUAUUUCUG